UGGUGGACCCUGCUGACUUGCUCACUACUGGCAAGCAAAGUGUUCACUGAUGAAUGAACAAUUACAUUUACCCACAGACUGAAAUAUGAUGUUAUUUUGUUUUGACUGAAAUUCCAACUCACUGUGAGAAUACUGUGAAAAAAAUCAUGAGAAGUAUCCUCAUAGGUGAGUCUUUUCACACAUCUGCACUAGUGAAUAUCUGAAUUUUAAAAGCCACUCCAGACCUACAUAGGUGAUGAACGAUGUGUACUUGAAAACAGUACACUCUUGCACAGCUGUCCCUGGAGCUUCCCCGUGGAGCUGUUAAACUUGCCCUCCGCUGGCUGUUUUCCACAAAGUAAUAUGGUUACAUAGAUUCACGGCUCAUGGCAAUGUUUCAUUAAGACAGUUCUUGAUGGCCGCUCCACACCUUUCUCACCACAUCUCACAGGCUGCCCUGCUGAGCCAGGUCUCCCUGGAACCCGGGGCUCCUGCGCAGGCCCCCAUUUUGCUCCAGAACACCCAGGAAGGCGGGGCUUGGGCUGGAAUGGGGACACCGAUUACCCUCUGUUCAGGCCUUUGGUGCCAGCUGAGGUCGAUACUGGUGCCAGGAUCGAGACUGUGCGCAUCCCAUCGAGAGCGGGCAGAUGUGGGGGCGCACUGGACCGGGCCUCCCAGGCUGACACCCAUUCACAGCAGCCUGAGCCUAAUCCGCCACUGCUCGCCUUCCUCCGACGUCUCCACCUAAACCAUCCUUCUGCACAUUGUGACCCAUCACUCCGCCCUUUGUCC
rnacentral:lncRNA from 1 species